ACCUAAUCUUCCCAACUUUACCGUUGUGAUUUCAAGAAAGAAAAGGAAAAAAAAUGUUACCGUCGUCUUUCCCGCGCCGGCGCAUAUCUAUAUAAGAGGAACAUUCAAGACCAGAUUUUGAAAAAUCAAAAAUAGUGCAGAAGAAAAGCGAGAGGGCGCUCACAUUGACAUGCCCUUCUUCUUUAACAGCGGCGUUUGUCCACAUCGUCUCAGACGUCCGCCCGCCUCCGCUGACUGCCCUCAGCCUCGAUCUCUUCUUUCUUAAGGUCUCGGUUUGUUAUUUCAAGGUUCUUGAAUUUCAAUAACUACAUGGGUUCUUCAUGGAUUACGACUGUGGUCUUCGGACAAGUGUGUGGGACUUACAUACAAGGAUGCCGGUGUGGACAUUGUUGCUGGUUCAGAACUUGUUAAGAGAAUAGUCAAGAUGGCUCUCUGAAUUGGAGGUUUUGAAGGCUUUUCCCUUUGGGGGAUUCCUAUAGAGAUGGAGUGGGAACCAAACUUAUGUUGGCUUUUGGGACUCGAAUCCACGAGACUAUUGGCAUUGAAUUGGAGAACCUGCAGGCUUUGGAUUGGAUUGUCAUCUUCGUCUGCUGGCUGAUCUUCCCUACCAUUUGGUUGGGAAAGGAUUUAGCGGUGAAGAUGAUCUCAAUGCAAGAGUUUGCUUAAACAACACAUUCGUGGAUUUGUCGAUAUCAGCUGUCGCGUUCGAGUAAUUCUAAAUAUGAACCUCAUGGGUUCGGGAGGAAAUUAGCAGCCGUGGAUGUAAAUCUUGCCUACUGUAAAUAGAACCAAGCAUGUUUGUAAUACUUAGAUCAUAACCAUAUAUUAAGAAAACCAGAAACAGGGAAAGUAUGUUUGGUUCAUGCCUAUAAGUGAUCCUAUGUAGUUGUUUUCCUACUGUCUUGUUAGUGAAUAUUUGAUGCGGUACCAUGUUUUGAGCAAGCAAUUUGUCUUUUUUCCUUUUUA